ensembl:lncRNA
GUCCAUUAUAAGGUACCCAUAGAAUCCAUCAAAUUUUUAAACCACUACUCUCUUCCUGUUCAAAAACGCAAAUUAAUUAUAGAGGCAAAUAAAAAAAAAAGUUAGGAAGGAACAACCAUGGACAAAUUGGAACGUGAAUUUAUAAGGAGAAAAAGAAAGAGGAUUCCAUCAUUGCUGCUAAACCCUCAAGCUCUAUUCCCCAAGCUUACCCAAGUGUUCAUAAGUGAGCACAUUACCCUCACUGGAGGUGUUUCCUCCUAGAAUGUUUUCAUAAAUAUUGCCAUAUUUUAAUUUUCACAGAAGUCAUGAAAACUACAAACCAUUAUUAUUCCAUAUCGGAGAGAAAGAAAACAAGGUUAUGUUAGGCUAAAUAAGUUGUUUAAAAUCAUAGGAUCGAGAUUAGAAUCCAUGAGUCUAACUAAAAGACUGUACUGUUUAUAUGGAUACAUCGAGGACAAGGGCUUCCAACAGUGUUUGGAUUGCUCAAUGAAAUUUGUAUCCUCUUGAACAGAACACAAAUACCAAGUAGACUUGGGACCUGAUUGUUCAACUGCAUAAAGUAGAAGUAGAUAAAAGAAUAAAGUGAGACUCUCAUCUCCUGGCUUUAGCACUCUAGGUACAAGUUCAGGAGGAAGGAGACAUGCUAGCUAUUUAGUGAGGAUGCCAAAAACAAAAAGACUUUGCCCCAGUUCAUUUGGGAAUCUAGUAAGAGACAGCAUUGCAGCAAUUCCACCACCACCAGUGACUAAGGAAUUAGCAAAGCAGAAUAAUGGCAAUAGGCAAAGAAAGAAUCUGAGCUAAUGGUUUCAGGCUGUCCUUCUCUCCUAUGCAGCACAGAAGAAACCUAGAAGUUCCUUUGUGCCUGAGGUACAACAGAAGACAAGGACAUCCAGCACACUACCAACCAACCACACACCAGCAUUGGACAACCAAUCCUCACCCAAGAACAACUCAGCUACCCUGCAGCCAAGACUAGCACAAGAUCAAGGCCACCCCCUCUCUCACCAUAGUGCCCUGAGAUCAUCAAUAUUUCUCCUAAACCCAAGUACUACUUUGGAAAAAGGUAAAGGAAGAAAAGAGGUCUGUGGACUAAUCAAAAUAUCAAUUAAAUUGGAAGAGUCCGAAGAACCAUUAACUCUCCAAGUUUAAAGCUGUAUGUUAGUUUUCUUUUUCCUUCACUACAUAGCACAGUCGGGGUCAUGGGGGGAGACACCAGCAAGCAAGAUUAUAUGAGUGUAAAAUAAAGAAGUAAUGUUUUAUUUGGACA